rnacentral:rRNA from 1 species
UACGUAGGGUGCAAGCGUUGUCCGGAAUUAUUGGGCGUAAAGAGCUCGUAGGCGGUUCGUCGCGUCGGCUGUGAAAACCCGGAGCUCAACUCCGGGCCUGCAGUCGAUACGGGCGGACUUGAGUGUUGCAGGGGAGACUGGAAUUCCUGGUGUAGCGGUGAAAUGCGCAGAUAUCAGGAGGAACACCGGUGGCGAAGGCGGGUCUCUGGAACGGUACUGACGCUGAGGCGCGAAAGCGUGGGGAGCAAACAGG